UGGUUAUUUAUUUUCGCUGACUCGACACUGGUCGUGUUUUCUCGGCACCAAUUCAGCAUCAGCGUGAAACCAAUUAAACCGCACCCAGUCAGACUCCAGUAUGAGACCUGAGGGACGGACUGGAUCCACACUGGAGAACCAGUAAGGAGGAGCGCGGAACGGGGACAGUCGACCGCAGCUAGGCUGUGGACUCAGUGACCAUGUGGGAGAAAACGCUGCUGCUGCUGCUGCUGCUGCUGCUGCACCUGCACCGUGUGGAAGCACCAGCGUCCUGCACCCAACGGUGAUGUCACAAUGUACCGACACACCUACGUCUCUGCACUGAGGAGGGAAGUGAAACUGCUGCAAAAACAAGAUUCUCAGUUUUUGUAAAUUGCUCUUUAAGGAAGAACUUAACACUUCCUGUAAAUCUUCCAGAGCUUCGCACCUUUCUGCUGUCAUGUACAGGUGUACAGCAGUACCCGGUGACAUCACUGUUGUGUUUCAGCGUCUUAAAGACUUUACUGUUUUUUUUAUGAUUGUAAAGUGAUUGGUUGGUUGCUUGCUUUACUGAGACCACAGGUCAGAAUGAAAUGUUACUUGGUUUGAAAAUGACUUUAAUGACUAAAAACAAAAAAGUCGUUAUUGUGUGAAUCAACCAUCUGAUUAAUUGUCUGAGCUCUAACUGAAAAAGCUUUAUCCUCUGUCCUUUAUCACAAAGUCAGCAGAAUCACUGUUUUGUUGCAGCUGUAGUGGCGUCUCAGUGCUGGCAGGGGGCGACCUUCUCUGAGGCGGUGGUGUCUCCGGCAGUGGAGAGCAGCGGUAUCCUGCGGG